UUGAUUACUUUUUUAGGGUCCUUCUUAGUGCGAUUGCCCGGGUUUUUCGCCGAGAUUUCGGAAAAUGUUUAAACCCCGAGAGGACGUUAGUGAAUCCUCUGAGCGGGAAGCAGCUCUCAAAUGUUUUUCUUGAGAGAUUUAUGACCGUUCUGACUCGGUUACCGAUGUUGAGAGGAGGAUCACACAGGCUGAGUGGU